CUCUCCAUGGCGCAAUCGGCAGACGCACCAGCUUCAAACCCUGGCGCCUUCGGGCAUGUCCGUUCGAGUCGGACUGGGGAGACCA
rnacentral:tRNA from 1 species